UACGAAGGGGGCUAUCGUUGUUCGGAUUUACUGGGCGUAAAGGGCGCGUAGGCGGUUCUACAAGUCAGAAGUGAAAGCCCUGGGCUUAACCCGGGAAUUGCUUUUGAAACUGUAAGACUAGAGUAGGGGAGAGGUGAGUGGAAUUCCCAGUGUAGAGGUGAAAUUCGUAGAUAUUGGGAAGAACACCAGUGGCGAAGGCGGCUCACUGGACCCUAACUGACGCUGAGGCGCGAAAGCGUGGGGAGAAAACAGG
rnacentral:rRNA from 1 species